UAUUUGUGUCAAAAGUUAGUUUCAAAUAAAUCAGUGGUAGAACCUGCCUAAGUUAAACUCACAAAGGUAUUCAAUCGCAGAUUACCUUCUUAAUCAAAAAGUGAACUUCCCAACGUGGAUGGAAAACGCAGCCAACACACUGAAUGCAAAUUUAAAGCUUUGGCUGAGUAACACUAAAAAGUACCGGUACAGCUUUGCCAUAGGCUUCGUCUAGUUGUGCGCGACCAACCUGGCCAAAUUUCAAAAUAACUGGCAAAAUUUACUCGCUAGUUUGCAGUAUCUCCAACCCAUUCACCGGAGAAAUCACUAUUGAAUCCUGUGAUGUAAAAAUCAAAUCAAUAGAAGUUCAGCUAGUCAGAAUAGAGACAUGCGGUUGUGCAGACGGUUAUUCAAAAGAUGCCACCGAGAUCCAAAACAUUCAAAUUGGAGAUGGUGACGUUGUACGAAAGAUACCCAUACCUAUUUAUAUGGUUUUUCCACGGCUCUUUACUUGCCCAACAUUGAGCACAGCAAAUUUCAAACUCGAAUUCGAAGUCAACAUCUCGGUUGUGUUCGAAGACAACCACCUGGUUUCCGAAAACUUUCCAAUAUACAUCACGCGGUUUUAGAUGAAACACUCCAACACGGUAGAGAGAGAAAACGGGAACUAUCGUAAACUAUCAUUCCGUUGUGAUCCACAUUUCUUGUACUGUCUCAAAGAGUUCCUUUCGUUAAUGACUCACGAAAUCGAUAUGCACAAUUAAAUUCCGAUUGUUAUUUUGAAUGAUUCUUUUAUAAUAAGCCAGUGGGCUUUAAUGAUUAAACCAUGAUUGAAAUAAAGAAAUGUUCGGUGAUCCUUCUAGUGUUACACUACCAACAAGUGAAUGAAAUGAAAGAUUCAUUUUGAUGCCAAGCUGAAUGUUCAAUCAAACAAAGAAACAUCCAUUAAACCUCUUUUAUAGGUUUUCACGGAAAAACUUAGACGAACGGUGAUAUUGUAUGAAAAUUUGCAGCAGCUCCAAUACUAGGAUACUGCCUAUGUCGUUUGUGCUAUUCCUUGGUGACAUCUAGCCGUAGUCGUAUCAAUUUUAACGCCAAAGCUUUUUUAAGUGAACGGACGGUAAGUCUACAGGUAUCAAUUAAUCUUUUGUAAGAAUUCCUAGUCAAAAGAAAACAGUAAUCUUGGACCCUUUCAGGCUGGGUCACUUUUAUUGACUUUUGUUCACACUCUCUGCCUUUGGGUUGUACUAAAAAAGUAUUUUGCCUAAUGAAGCGAAAGUAUUUGAUAGUGACAUGGGUCAUUGCAACGUUCCACCACCACCCUGCUGCCGUGAACGAUGGCCAAGGACGAAAAGAGGAGUAGUAGAUACCAGAGGACAAUAGUGGGCAUGACGUUAGAGGUGGGAGAAGAAAACAUAACACGUGCUACCAUCGGCUUGUUAGUCUUCCACUGAAGUCGUUGACACAACAUUCGGCUCUCUCGCUCGUCUCCACAAAACUACGCUCACCUAUUGCACGCGUCAUCAGUGAUUGACUGCUGUAUGCAGGAAUAUAUACGGAGUUGUCAGAGAUUUUGAAAGACAACACAAUCGUUAUGACUAAUCAUAGACACACGUGCGGAAUAAUGAAGACGUUGGUCGCCACUUGAACGACGGUGCUUGUCCUCUGGUUCCCGUCAUUAAUAACAGCGGCUGAGCUCUCGGAUGGAAUGGUCUGCACUUUCACGUCGACCAACUACGCGGUCGGUGACGUCUGGUAUCCGAGACUGGGUCAACACGGGACCCUCCACUGUGUCGCCUGCGUCUGUCAAGAGGGCGGGAAAAUCAAUUGCACCAUCCAAAAUUGCAGCGGUCCCGAAUGCACCGGGUCCGAAUCGUCCGUCGAGAAUCAAUGUUGUGCCCGCUGUUCCAAAGUGGGGCAAGAUGCGAAAUUGCCAACAUCCAUUACAACUCCACCAGCUCCAGCGCAUUCGACUCGCGUUUUCCAGGAAAACGUUCGGGUGUCAUCAUUUUCGUUAUCGGAUUUGAGUAGCAGUUCGACGUCAUCUGGCGUCA